rnacentral:tRNA from 1 species
GCGGGAAUAGCUCAGUUGGUAGAGCACGACCUUGCCUCGGUUCUCGUUUCCCGCUCCA